rnacentral:rRNA from 1 species
CCUACGGGUGGCAGCAGUGGGGGAUAUUGCACAAUGGGGGAAACCCUGAUGCAGCGACGCCGCGUGUGGGAAGACGGUCCUCUGGAUUGUAAACCACUGUCCCCAGGGACGACGAUGACGGUACCUGGGUAGGAAGCUCCUGCUAACUACGUACCCGCCGCCGCGGUAAUACGCAGGGAGCAAGCGUUUUCCGGAAUUCCUGGGCGUAAAGGGCUCGUAGGCGGUAUGUCAAGUCAAGGGUGAAAUCCCCGGGCGCAACGUGGGAACUGCCUUUGAAACUGGCAAACUGGAGUGGGUGAGAGGAAAGUGGAAUUCCAGGUGUAGGAGUGAAAUCCGUAGAUAUCGGGAGGAACAUCAGUGGCGAAGGCGACUAUCUGGCACAUAACUGACGCUGAGGAGCGAAAGCGUGGGUAGCAAACAGGAUUAGAUACCCGAGUAGUC